rnacentral:lncRNA from 1 species
UUAGGGGACAUCAGGGUAUAUUAGCAAUCAUCUUAUCAACUUCUGGAUAUCCUACAACCAGUCAGAAUAGCCAUUUAUCAGUCAGUUUCACAGAACCCCAGACUUUUGUGGUUUUAUUACAUCUAACCAUGGUAUACUACUCCAUAGGUGAGCACGAAAUAAAUUUAAGGUAUGUUCCCCUGUGUGUGUAUAUAUACACAUUGAGAGGGAAGAUAGUUUGACAUAUGUGUUCAAACAAAUGGAAAUAAUUUUCAGUUUGGAUGCUUAUAAUUCUGUGCCUUUGCCACUCAAUUUUGCUAAGUGGUGAACCCUCUAUUUAACCCUGAUAGAUUAAAAACUGUAAGAUCAUCACCAAAUAUUUAUUCUCUCAUAUGUAAAAUUAAUACAUUGGGUUAGAUAGUCUCUAAAAUUCUUUCCAGUUCUAAAUACAUCAUUCUAAAAUAAUAAUAGCCAGCAUUCGUAUAGCUCUUUAAGUUGUACAAAUCCAUUUACACAUCUUAUAUCAUUUGUUCCUCAUAACAACCUUGUAAGGUAAAUACUAUUAUUAAUCCCAUUUCAUAAAUGGGGAAAGUAAGGUUGAGACAGAUUAAGUAAAUUGUCCAAAGUCACACAGUAAUUAUCUGAGCUGGGAAUUUGAAUUCAAGUCUUCCUGACUCCAAGUUCAGCAAUCUAUCCACCUUGUUGCAUAUGACCAUGCUUUUGAUGCUUUAAAGAGAAAGUUGACCUCACUGAAUCAGUCAGCAUGAAGAUUGGACUCAUCAGCUUUUGAAAGUUAACUCUGGAGGAAGAAUUGAACUCUUCAGGAAGCUCUAAAUUUUUCAGGAUUAUCUCUUCACCUUUUUCCUUUAUCUCUUGAAAGAGUCAUGGUGGUGGUGGUGGUGAUUUCUUCCUACUCACUCUCUAUUGGGUAAAAGUGCAUGGAAUGAAGCCGAAGAGGAGAUUUCAAGGACACAGUCUUCUGAACUUUAGACUUUUAUAUAGAGGAAGGAGCAUUCUGAAUUCCCUAGAUGGCAUUUUCUUCAAAUCUAGUCUUUUAACCAAAAAAAGGGAAGUAAGACACAGGGAAACUGGACUACCUAUACCUGCUGUUACAGACCCUUAACCAAAGACCUGAGUUAUGUUCAACAGAAAUGCAGUCAGAUCCUAAGACUGAUAUAAGGAGCUUUCUCAUAAUUAUACAAAUCAAGUAACCUAUAUGUCUUAUCUGAAAACUGGUCCCAUACUGAUCAAUCAGUUAUUGUUUCCAUGUUCCUUUGGUUGUAUACAAAUACUUAGGGAGGAGUGGGACACCUCUUUUCCUGAAUUCAGGAAAUUGUAUCUGUUCACUCUCCCCCUCCCAAUCUGAAAAAUCCCUAAUUUUUCAUCCAGUUAGAAAUCAGAUUACCUAAUGUGGUAUUGUUUCCUUUUAAUUAAUUGGUUUUAUUUGAUUA